CGGGUGUCUGGGGCGGACGGCAAGUUUACUUUGAACAAAUUUGAGUGCUCAAAGCAGGCCUAUGCCUGACAAUUCUUGCAUGGAAUAAUGGAAUAGGACUUCGGUUCUAUUUUGUUGGUUUUCGGAUCCGAAGUAAUGGUUAAGAGGGACAGACGGGGGCAUUUGUAUGGCGGUGUUAGAGGUGAAAUUCUAUGAUCAUCGCCAGACAAACUAAAGCGAAAGCAUUUGCCAAGGAUGUUUUCAUUAAUCUGGAGCGAAAGUCAGAGGUUCAAAGACGAUCAGAUACCGUCGUAGUUCUGACCAUAAACGAUACCAACUGACGAUCCGUGGGUGCUCGUUUAUUGACCCCAUGGGCAGUCCCCGGGAAACCUUGAAGUCUUUGGGUUCCGGGGGAAGUAUGGUUGCAAAGCUGAAACUUAAAGGAAUUGACGGAAGGGCACCACCAGGAGUGGAGCGUGCGGUUCAAUUCGACUCAACACGGGAAAUCUCACCCGGCCCGGACACUGUGAGGAUUGACAGAUUGAGAGCUCUUUCUUGAUUCGGUGGUUGGUGGUGCAUGGCCGUUCUUAGUUGGUGGAGCGAUUUGUCUGGUUAAUUCCGAUAACGAACGAAACUUUGGCCUGCUAAAUAGUAUGCCUGUCCUCUGCUCUUGUGCGGGUGGCGGUAGUGGUAGCCUUUCGGGGUGAUACUGCCGUACGCCGGCGAGAGCUGCGCAGGUCUAUACUUCUUAGAGGGACAAGCGGUUUUUAGCCGCACGAAAUUGAGCA
rnacentral:rRNA from 1 species